GACGAACCGUGCGAACGUUGUUCGGAAUUACUGGGCGUAAAGAGUGUGUAGGCGGUGUUCCCAGUCUGUUGUGAAAUCUCCCGGCUUAACUGGGAGGGUGCAGCGGAAACUAGAAUGCUAGAGGGUGGGAGAGGUAAGCGGAAUUCCUGGUGUAGCGGUGAAAUGCGUAGAUAUCAGGAGGAACACCUGUGGUGUAGACAGCUUACUGGACCACUUCUGACGCUGAGACACGAAAGCGUGGGUAGCAAACAGG
rnacentral:rRNA from 1 species